CUUUUUGGGAUAACACCACAGUCAUCAUACUGGACCUUAUCUAGUUAGUUUUCACAAUUAAGUAACAAUUAGAUCGGGAUUUGAAGAACAUGGAAACAGCUUUUAAAGAUUUGGACGAUGCUGUUAUCCCUACAGAGGAGCCAUUUGGCGAAAUUAAAGAUGGAAGAAAAGUAAAAAGAUUUACUUUUACCAACAAGAACAAUAUCACGGUGCGCAUCAUCAGCUAUGGAGCAACAAUUACCGAUAUCCUGAUGCCGGAUAAAAACGGAGUAAUUCUUGAUAUUAGUUUGGGAUUUGACACUGCUGCUGAAUAUGAAGAUAGACACACGAAAAUUGGGGCUGCUCUCGGUCGGAUAACAGAACGCCUAAAAGGCGCCAAAUUCACCAUAGACGGAGUGGAGUACAAUGUCUCGGCCAACGAAGGACAAAAUCAAGUCCAUGGGGGCUUCUAUGGCUUCGAUUCUAAAUUAUUUGACGCCAAGAUAAAAGGGAACAAAGUGGAGAUGACGUACGUGAGUCCGGAUGGGGAAGAGGGGUUUCCUGGAGAGCUGACCUCCGUCAUUUCAUUUCAACUCACAAAUGAAAACGAACUAAUUCUAGAUUACAGGGCGACAACAACAAAAGCGACCCCUAUCAACCUUUCUAACCACGUCUACUUCAAUCUGGAGGGUCAUAAAGCUGGCAAAAAUGGCGACCAUCUGAUAUCAGUUUUUUCUGAUACAUAUGUUCCAAUUGAUGAAGCUCUUCUUCCAAAGGGAGAUGGCGAACUGGCAACAGUCAACGGAACCAUAUUUGAUUUUCAAAAUCCAACACUUGUGAGGAAAGUUAUUAAUGAUUUCAUAGUUUCUUGCUAUUCUUUCGGAGAUCGAGGAACUAGGAAACAUGUUGCAAGAACCCGGAUUAGAUGUGUAUUUCUCAUCCCGUAUGAAGCCCAACUUGUAUGGGAAAGAUGGAGCGAUGUACGGUCCUUUCGAGGACGGUGGGGUCUGUCUAAUUCCAAUGCAGCUCCCAAGCGGGAUUAAUAUGCCUAAUUUUCCGGAUACCAUUCUACGACCUGAAGAGAUUUAUACACAGAGAACAAUUUAUAAAUUUGGUGUGAAAUGAUUAUUUUUUUUUAAGAAUGAUCCAUGCUCAUCAAUCAAAUAUCAUUUAUUUAAAAAAAUACUAUCAUGUGGAAUUUAAUUCAACGGUAUUAUCUGUGUACACCGAUUGUUCUAUAACCACUAGAUAUAAGUAUCAAAUGAUUGAAAAUACUCAUUCGUUUAUAGAAUCUUUUUUCUAACUUUACAAAUAAGUAAUUUAAAAAUGAUUCUGCAACGGUUUUGGUAAGCUCAAGUGAAAAAAAUGGUGAGUAGAUGUUAGACUUUCUCAAGUCUCUAUUUUUUUCAAUGUUUCUAUAUUUUUUUUAAAUUUUUACUGUGGUUCAGAAAUUCUAAUUUCUCCUCUUUACGAUAUAUAUAAAUAACACUUAUCUAAA
rnacentral:misc_RNA from 1 species